UAGGGAAUAUUGGACAAUGGGUGCAAGCCUGAUCCAGCCAUGCCGCGUGCAGGAAGAAGGCCUUCUGGGUCGUAAACUGCUUUUGCCGGGGGAUAAAAUAGCUAUGCGUAGCGAAUUGAAGGUACCUGGUGAAUAAGCCACGGCUAACUACGUGCCAGCAGCCGCGGUAAUACGUAGGUGGCAAGCGUUGUCCGGAUUUAUUGGGUUUAAAGGGUGCGUAGGCGGUCAAAUAAGUCAGUGGUGAAAUACGGCAGCUUAACUGUCGAGGUGCCAUUGAUACUGCUUGACUUGAGUACUGAUGAGGUAGGCGGAAUGGACGGUGUAGCGGUGAAAUGCUUAGAGAUCGUCCAGAACACCGAUAGCGAAGGCAGCUUACUAAGGAGUAACUGACGCUGAGGCACGAAAGUGUGGGGAUCAAACAGG
rnacentral:rRNA from 1 species